GUUUCCGAGUUGGUUUUGAGCAGAGACAAGCGAUUAUGUUUUUGAUUUUUCUUGAAUCAGAAUGAGUUUUCAAGGUUCCUGUACCAGAACUUCAAUUGAUGAUUAGGAAAAAGGCGUUGAAGCAAAUGUUGUGACAAAGAAGAUCAGUUGUAAUUCUCUGUGUGUGAUGAAACUGCACAGAUUUUGAUGAAGACGAUUGGGAAAAUUGACCUGCAGAUGGAGCUGGUGAGUCACAUGAGUAUUAUGCCAAAAUUGCAUUAUUCUAAUGAUUGCUUGUAGAUUUGUUCAAGGCCAUUGAGUCGUACUUGAUAAGUGCUUAGCUUGGAGAAUUUGUAAGAUUAUUUUGCUUGACUCAUGCGGUUACAGAUAACUUCAUAAAAGCUGGCGGCUUAUUUGUGGUGAUGGAGGUGCAGGUUUUGGAGGAGGAUGAGGAGGCAGUGGUGGUGGCUAGCAGUGGUUGUUGGGAAAAUGGUGGAUUGUUGGGAGAAAAAAUACACUUUGGUUAUCCAAUUUCAUGGUAAUUUUUCUGUUUUAAGUGUUAAAUAGUUCGAUUGUUAAUAUAUUAAGUUUGACGUCUCCAGUACAGGUCAAAAGAGGAGCUUUUUGAACUUCAAGGUCGGUAAUUUUCUCUAGUUUAUGGAUUAUAUAUAUGUUUUAAGCAUUACAAUGGUUGGAUAAUCAUGUUAUAGUUGACGAGGUCUUAAAUAAGUUGUUUAAGCUAUGUGGCAAAUUGUUGAUUCGAUCAUAUUUCGAUAGAAUGCGGCUAACCUGUUUCGUAUGACAUUUCUCAUGGAAGAUUGUUGAUUCGAUCAUAUUUCGAGUUUAUUUCACUGGUUAGGGAGAACUUGCUGAGUGUCAGGGUACUACAAGAUGGGGAGAAAGCUGGUGUUAAUGAUUCGGUUAUUUGUGGUGCAAUUUAUGCCUCCUGAAGCUUAUAAAGCUUAUUUGUGGUAUUGGUCUCGCUGGAAUUGGAGUUGACGAUGAAUACACAAGUCAGA